UCAAAAAGAUGGCCAUGUGCUACACAUCACAACCCUUCUUCCACUCAUAAUUUAUUCUCUUAGUAUAAUAUUUGCCUAUAAAAAGGGUUAUGUUUGUUCAAGAGGAAGAAUAUAUCACAAGAAACUCGCCCAAGUGCCUUAAGGCCUUUUGAGUGUUCAUUUACAUAUUUCCAUAUCAAAAUUAUAUAAUAUUUUUGAUUAGGGCUACAUUGUCUUUGUUUGUUGAUCAGUAUUAUGAGCUCCAUAGUAGGUGAGAAUUGGGAGCACGUGGAGAGCCAAGACUGGUCGGAGUUGUCGCCACGAAAUCACAAUAUUCUAAUGUCAUUGCUGGAUGAAACGCAGAUCGACGAGUGUGAUGAUGAAAGACUAACAAAAGUGAUCCAGUCUUUACAAGAUGAACUCGAUGAUUGUGCAUGGGAGAGUAGCCAAUCAUCUAUUGAUGAGUUGUAUCCGUCGAUGGCUGCCGUUGAUGUUGAUCUUCAAUGGAUCGAUGUAGAGAUGAUGCCUAUGAUUCAUGAAGCCCCUUAGCAAGGGGCAGGUCUGCAACGCCAAGAAGACUCUCUCCUCCAUGGCUUUCGACGACAUCAACAUCAAAUUUCCCAACCCAAUACAUCACACAAAUCUCAAUUCAACGACAUAAGUUGUGAAUCAAUCAAGAGUGCCGAAGGCAGGGGAGCCGGCGAUGUGAAAAAAUCGACACCAAAAUCCAUGAAUGGUGGCGCUCCAGUUUUCGGUGGGGCACAUCACCUUCUUGAGUACCUUUGUAUUGAUUUUUAGUGAUUUCUUUAUUUUGUAAUUUUUUGGAUAAGAUGGGUUAUUGUUGUAUGAUUGUAUCAAAAUAAAGGGAAGCAGAGAGAGAAAUAAAAGGAAGGGAUGGGAUAAUUUUCA